rnacentral:rRNA from 1 species
AUUGAACGCUGGCGGCAGGCCUAACACAUGCAAGUCGAACGGCAGCACGGGUGCUUGCACCUGGUGGCGAGUGGCGAACGGGUGAGUAAUACAUCGGAACGUGCCCAAUCGUGGGGGAUAACGUAGCGAAAGUUACGCUAAUACCGCAUACGAUCUACGGAUGAAAGCGGGGAUCGCAAGACCUCGCGCGAAUGGAGCGGCCGAUGUCAGAUUAGGUAGUUGGUGGGGUAAAGGCUCACCAAGCCAAUGAUCUGUAGCUGGUCUGAGAGGACGACCAGCCACACUGGAACUGAGACACGGUCCAGACUCCUACGGGAGGCAGCAGUAAGGAAUAUUGGACAAUGGACGCAAGUCUGAUCCAGCCAUGCCGCGUGAAGGAUUAAGGUCCUCUGGAUUGU